rnacentral:rRNA from 1 species
AUACGGAGGGUGCAAGCGUUAAUCGGAAUUACUGGGCGUAAAGCGCACGUAGGCGGCCCUGCAAGUCAGACGUGAAAGCCCACGGCUCAACCGUGGAAUUGCGUUUGAAACUACAAGGCUUGAGUCCGAGAGAGGGUGGCGGAAUUCCGGGUGUAGGAGUGAAAUCCGUAGAUAUCCGGAGGAACACCAGUGGCGAAGGCGGCCACCUGGAUCGGUACUGACGCUGAGGUGCGAAAGCGUGGGGAGC